AUCUUUUCAGUCAUUUUCUACCUUUCUAUUUUUUAUUCUCAUUCUCUCUCUUGAUGGAGAAGUCGAAAAAGUGACUUAGAAAUGGAGGUAUUACAUUUUCGGAGAGGAACAUCAAAUUGAUGGAAAUAUAGUGAAGAGUGAUUUCAGUCCCCGGUUGGAACAUUAAUUUGGUGAUGAAAUUUCACAUUUGACUAUCGAAAUGGGAGGUAAUCUUUCAGUCCAAGUAAAUUUUUGUGUUUUCCUUUCAGUUUUUGGGUUUGAUUAUUUUUCCCGAGAUAUUGAAUUCUUAUUUAUCAAAGUCAAAAUUAUCUUUUAUUUUUAUGUUUUUUGAUUUGGGAAUUGGAGAAACUUUACAGGAAGCCCGUCAUUAUGAAAUGGAUGCAAUAAGGAAGAAAGAGAAUUAAGUAAAACUCACUAGAAAUCUUGUGAGCAUUUGGCUUUAACUGAUUUUGCACAUGCAUGUACUCAUUCACUAUUUUGUCUCAAUUUCUUAGGUGUAGAAUGUAUUAGAAGAAUUCAGUGAGAAUAUAGAAAGGCUCUGUGAGAAAAAUUCUCAAAGGUUAGUACUAUAUAUAUCCAAUAGUCAUUUUUUGGAGAUUAUCUCCCCUUUUUUCUCCGCAAUUUUGUCCUGUUGAUAAGUUGGAGAUUUGAUUGGUUCCACAUACUUCUGAACAAUCUGCUUCUGUAAAGUUCAACUUUUUUGCUAAGCAACAUAUUUGUGUUCUUUCAAAUUCACAAAUAUUGAUUAUUUAUGAAGUGAAGUGAAAUUAUUUAUCAUAUAGGACUCGACAACGUGAACAAGAUAUCACCUUCAGGUCAUUUAGGUUGGGCCUGUAUUGACUAAUUUGGUUGAAGGUUGAGUAUUUGUGGUCUCUCUCUAUAAUGUUUAUACUCAUGGCUCGUGGGGUGGUUGUACACUCUUGUCAUCACUUACCCAAUUAUAUAUUUAUCAUAUGUAGUCUAGCUGGAACAUGUCUUCACUUAUACAACUAUGUAUUUAUUGUACGUAGCCUGUCUGGAACAAAAUGAUCAAUAUUGUUUGAAGGUAUAUGAGCUUAUUUUUUUCGUACAUGUACAUAAAAAUGUCAUGCUCUAUCCAUAUAGUUAAAUUACUUUAGUUGUAUUGUUAAGGUGAAAAAGACGACACCGAAUUCAACUAUGUUGGGCUGCUAAGAUUUUUUUGGAUUGGGGGGGAGGGGGAGGGAAUGCUUGUUGUGCUACUUAAGCGUUUUUCUCUUUUUAUGUGUUGGGGUGGUGCUUUUUGUUGUUGUUAUGCUGUUGUGUUUGUUCAGAGUCUUUAGAUUAAGAGCUAGGAUGAUUAAAGGUGACAUUUUAGGAUGUGUAAGUGUUUAGUUGAGGUGCUUCUUAGAGUUCAUGUAUUUAUUCAAUUUGUAUAGUAAAAUUGGUUAGAUGAACCUGAUAAGGGUGGUAAUCCUCAAAAGUUAUCUUUUUUUUCUUCUUUAUCAUUUCUUGUUGUUAUAUCCAUGUUUCAUCAGGUGACAUGAAGUUUGGGAAUGUCCUUUGUUCCAAUCUGGACCUUUUAUGCUACUUUGAGCUGUUUUUUUUUCUCUCUUUCUUUCCUUUUAUUGUGGUGUUGGUGUUGUUUUAUUGUUAUUUUGAGCUUGCUUGAUCAGAUUUCUCUUCAAGUGUUGUAGCAAUUGCAUCACAAGUUUGAUGAAAUUUUUCAAAAAUGAUUGAAUCUGCCACUUUUCUUUAUUUGUUUCUAGAGUGAAGGCUGAAAAAAUUACCUGAACUGAAGGAGAAGUGAGUUUCUUAUCUGAAAUAUCACUAUAUGUUCACAUAGGAGAAGUAAACUAUUGAUGGUUGACUUGUGUUUUGACAAAUAGUUGGUGAUAGUUCAUAGUUCAGUGAUGAAAUUCAAAUACCGAAUACUUAAGGUGUGAUUUUUGCCAUUGACUCUUUGUUUCUCAUUUCUUGCACAAUGGUUGUUUGGUUAUUUCCUAUUAAUGAAAUAAUAAUGUAUAUGAACUUGCAUGACCUUUAUUGUGAAUUAUAAUCUUCCAAACUACUUAUUUUGGCUUCUCCGGGAGGUGAUGGACAGAUGCGAAAAAGAAAAGUUAGUGUAUGACUCAUGUUGGAUGGCAAUGUCAAUAUUACAGAUGGUUGCAAAACACUUUCAAUGUCAUGCAUUUAUAUUUAUUUUUUACAAUUAUAUAUCAAGUAAAGAACAUAUUUUGCCAAGUUCUUUUUGGCAGUUUUUUGGCAGAGUCCAUAGAAACAUGCCUUUGAUUUAGAUUGUGUCACGAGUCGUUCUCUCUACUAACUGUCAGAAUAAUCCGAAAGUCAAUCAUUCCCAGCUUUGAUAUGAAGGUAUGGGGGAGAUCAAAAGGGAGUAUGUUAGUCAAAUAGAGGGCUCUCAGGUGCAUAUCCUGUUUCUCCAUUUGUACGAGUACAUUAUUUUUUGUAGAACAAUAAUAACAAUCAAUACCAUAGAUUCAUAACUAUAAAUUGCUUAUUGCAAAUAUAGCAAUAACAGAAAAGGCAAGAUUCUUACCUCCUCCUUGCCAACUUCUACAUACAUCUCCCUACAUGAUUCAUAUAAUUGUAGCCAAGGUAAGAAACAACUGUACAAGAUAACUUGACAAUACUCUUAUUGUUAUAAACUCUAUCCCUCCCCCUAUUACAAGUUCGAUAACACUACAAGCAAGAGCAAAAUUGUAUGAUCAUUUGAAGAAAAUAAAAGAUGUAGCUUUUAAACUCUGCAUAAAGGAUUUGUUUUUCUCAUUCCAAUGCUUCAAUGACAAUUUUCUUACUAGGAGCACUGAGCACAAAUUAUUGUAUCAUUGAACACACUAAAUCACCAUUUAAAGAAAUAAUAGUAAUGAGAAGCUUAGAUGAAUUGUCAAUUUUCUAUUCUUUGACAAGUCUAAUAAUUCAAGUAUUUAAGAAUUUUAAUUAGUUUAUCCUCUCUUAAAAUUUUAUUGAGGACUCUUUUAGCAAAGAGAAGUCUCAUCGACAUCGGACCUUAUUUAAUAAUUCUAUUCGAGUAUUAAAAUGAAGAUAUUUUUUUAGAUGUUAAUGGAACUCUUUAACAUCCUUGCAGACUAAUUAAAGAAAGAAAGAGGCAAGGUAUUAAGAAUGUAUUCAGUGCUACUUCAAUCAAGUAAGUUUUACUUUUUCUGGUGAUUAUUUUUAUUUUAUUAUGUAAUAUGUGGAAUAUGGAUGGAGAGAUUUUAUCUACACCCUCUUUUUUUUUUGUAGACAUCUUAAGAUAUCCAGCCAUUUUUCGAGGAGUUUACUUUAACUAUUGUCAUGUCAUGGGAGAUGAAAACUCACCAAAUCUUUUUAGUUCGUCUUGACUUUGUAUUUGUUUAUAUUAUGCACACUCUAUAGAGUUUCACAUUCUCAUGGAUUUGACUCCUUUGUGAUUCAAAUACAUCUGGUAUACUCACUAAUUAGUACUGUUGGAUCCUUGCUCACCUAUAGUUAUAUUGUUGAGUGAGGCAAGUAACUGAGAAAAACAAUUAAAUUCCAAAAACAGAACAAGAAGGAGCCAACCCAUGAAAAAGGGAAAAACAUUCAAGUUCCAGAAACAGAACAAGGAGGAGGCCAAAUCAUGAAAAAUGAUUGAUUUCAAAUUCUCUAAUUUUCAAGACUUAAGGUACAAUUUCACAUACCUUUUUCAGGUUUUUGAAAUUGUAGGUCUCUUUUUCUUGAAAACAAACCACAAUGUUCUAUUUUGAAUGGUGUUGUAGUAGUAUUUAGUAGUUAUUCUUGGAUAGAAGUUACAGUUUUAGUAUUAGAUACAAAAAAUUUAAAAUACUUCACCUGUAGAGUCGACUUUAUAGUAGUUCUGGGAUUGAGAGACUAAUGAUGGUUGGGAAUGAUUUGGUAAUAUUCUUUCCCUUAAUGAGGUAUUAUGUGUGAUUUUGACACACAUAAUAUCUAAUGAAGAAGGUUUUACAUAUUAUGUGAUUAUGCAUGUGGGAUAGGUUUUGCUUAAAAAAAUUGUCGUUCAGAUUUUCAUUUAUUGAAUUGAUAAUCUUAAGUCGAGUAGUAAACUUAAAUGAAAGGAUACAAACAUAGCUAUAGCAUGCUUUUAUCUCUGUCACACACUCAAACUAUUAAUGUUAGAGUUAAGGUUAAUGGCUAAGCGGGUCUAACAGAUCUAUGUACUCCGUCCCUCUAUAUUAUCAUUUUUAGUUUUACUUAGUUGUUCAUUAUCACUUUAUUAGAUUCAGAAGCUACCAUCUUUGCUGAGCUUUGUAAAUCAAAUAGCAUUCUGUAAUAUAUGAUUUUUAGGAGGACAAGAAAAAAAAUUGUCCAUAAUAUCUUAAGACUGCUUCCUGUUAAGGAUAGUCAAGGAGGAAAACAAUGUGAUUGAGAUGACACAUGUAAUUUUAUUUUUCCCUCUUUUUUUUGUUAAGAUAAAUGAAAGUCCAGAGAUAAAUUCUUCCCUCCAUAUAUCAUUUUACUUGUCAAAAGAAAAAAGAACUUGUCACCUAAAAAUAUAUCACUUAAUGAAUUUAUAUUGAGUAGAGAUUUUGGCUCAAUUUUGCUAAAAGAGGACUUGAGCAAAUGUGUACCUUUAUAAGGUGUUCGUAGUGUAGAUAAGAACAUACAUAGCAAGUCAAGUCGGUAAGAUGGAAGUUGGCUUUUAAAAGAACUACUUAAUUAACUUCUAUUUUUAUCACCUUGAUAUAAAUAUGCAGUUUGUGCAAAUAAGAAGUUGAUAGACUUAACAAGAACUUGUGCUGAUUAUUUUUGGUGUGUGCACUUCAAAUAAUUUGCAGGGAACAACAAAUAGUAAUGUCUGGGCACAGAAGAGUUAGAUAUGUACAAAAAGUUGAAAAGUUGAUGUUCUCCAUAGUACAUUGGAUAGUCCAGAUGUUGACACAUUAUUAGUAAUGUCUGUAAAUGCAGAAUGUUUCUAACAACUUCGAGCAUUCUCCCUUUCUUACUUUUUGAUUAUUUCGUUUGGGUGCAAAUUUGAGUCAAUAUUUUAUGUAGUCUACCUUAUCAAUGAUUUUGCAGAUGCUUGAGUGAAUACAUUUUAUUUCCAUACUUGAUCAUCCCUUUCGCUAAUUCAUAUACAC
rnacentral:lncRNA from 1 species